CUAUUUCCCAGCUUCCCUUCUUCAAAUAACAGGAUUAAUCAAUCUGGUUCCGGAAUCAUUCAUAUUUGAAUAGAGGGCAGGAACAACAGAAAACUUAAUUAGGAAGUCAAGCACUGUGAGCCAGUAAGAGGCAAGUGACUACCCGCCACAGAGACUGCUGUUACGAGUUCGGCCUUUAGCAGCCGAACCCUGAGACGGGCUCCAUCACCCACAUGAUUGGCCCGAAUGCCAUAUUCCCGAAACAGGGGGAUGCUUCCCAAAGGCUGCUGGGAAGAGAACCUCGCCGGUGUCACACUGAGACUUCCGCUUCACCUCGCUAUCUUGCCCUAGAAAGGGAACUCGGAGGGGACUCACUGACGAAAGGAGCUCCAGAUGGCGGGGGGCCAACCUGGGGCGACCCCCAGCGCCCACUUUCACCAUCUGGACCCCAGCAAACCUCCCUGUGGCCCUUGGUCCCGUCUUCAGCAGCUCCUUCUGGGGUCCCACACCUUCGGAGCCCGGCCCUGCCCCUGAGUCUCUGGAGAGAGCGAGUCAGCAGUUCGCCGCCGCGGGGCUCCCGUUUGCCUAGCACGCCAGUUUCUGUCCAGUUUCACCCCAAAUCCCCACCUCCCCCCACCCCCGAACCUCACGGCCACCCUGGGAAGGAGGCUUGACUUGUGACAUCCACCCCUCUUCACGGCUGAGGAACUUUGGCCCCGAGCGAGGAAGCGACCGGCCCACGGCCACACGCCCGGAGUGGGGGGCAGCAUCUUCUACUAUGUGCAUCUACAUUGGAUGGCAGUGGAGCAACACAGAUUGUUUUCUGACAAAAAUCAGCCAAGUACUAGGAGAGGCAGGACUUUAGAAGUGGAGGAGAUGGAGAAGGAAGCUUAGGUUACUAUGGAGUGUGCAAAAAGGUCCUGUGGAUUUAGAUACCACCACACACAAAUGCUGUUGUUGGAAGGUACCUGCCCAGAUAAGGACUGCAUUUCCUCUAGCAUCCAGAUGGGACCAAAUGACUGCUGGCCAAUAGAAGUGAGUGGAAAGGACUGACUCCAGUUCCAGGUUGGGCCUCCAACUGCUCUGGGCACGUCGAUGGAACAGAACACCACCUCCACCCCAAUACCACCAAUUCAACUUUACAUGAAUUAUAAGCGAGAAAUAACUUGGACUGUGUUAAGUCAUUGAGUUUCUGGGGUUUAACUGUUAUUAUAGUUAAGAAUGAC
rnacentral:lncRNA from 1 species